AUUUCUUUUAUAUGAAAAAUUAUUAUUUAUUAAUAAGGUUUACCAUAAUAUUUAUUUUAUUAAUUAAUAACAAUCUAUUCAUGAAUUUUUUCUCCAAAGUUAUUUAAAUUCCAUCCAUUUCUAUCCAAUUUUGUAUUCUAAUCUAAUUGAUCAACGUGGUGCAAUUUUAAAUUCCAAUUUCCAUCGAUCUCACAACUUUCGAUCAAUGCCCACAUUUAUUUUUUCAAUUUUCUUUUCUAAUUAUGUCCAAAACCCCAAAUCCCUAAAUCAAUUCCAAUUUCUCACAAAACCACCGCACCUCAGCCUCUCACCGCCCACACCUCGCCUCUGACCACCGCUCCACCAGCCAACUCCGUCGAGCAACCCUAGCCCAGCCGAUGCUCCACCGGCGAACCACUCCCUCCUCUCUCCCCUUUCCCCUUCUCUUCCGCUCUUCCCCUUGCCACCUUCACUGUCCUGCCAGCACCACCAGUGAAUCAGAAACACAUUGUCCUCUCUAAUGUGUUCCGAAAAACUCCGGUGAAGACAAAGGCACUGUCAGAUAGUUUCUUAGAAAUUGAUUCGGUGGACUGAUCACUGGAAAAAUCCCCUCAAGCUUUCGGUCUAUUCAAAAUGAAUGAGAAAUCUCUCGGGCUCUCCUCCUCAUCUCUACAAUAAGUCUGAACACUGAAAGUUCUUACCUUCGGCUCAUUUUUGCCAUAUCACUGGUUAGUUCUCUUAACAAUGCAUUCGAUACCUAUGUGGUAGCUUUGUAUAUCUUUAAUUUUGCAGUAGACAUUCUGUGAAAGCAAACAGGUACACUUUCUCUUCGACUUAUACAUGCUCCAAUUAUAUAAAUAUUGUGGUUAUGACUAGUUCUAAAUCUGUUGUGGUUUAAUUUUGUAUUUAUUCUUUCUAUUUUGAUAACUCUGGCCUUUUUGCUAUGGAUAAUUAGGUUGUGUUAUUAUAUGGUUGCUAUGAUCUUUAUUCCUCAACAUGUUCACUAUUUGUAUGUAGUCGAGUGUGUCUUUUACGCUGUACAUGGACCUUACUUUGAUUGAGGUAUCCGAACAAUGAUUGUUGGGAUGGGUUGAAGAGUUGUCGGGGAUUGAGAAAGCCUACUUAGCUUAGAUUUUCACUUUCUUUUUUUUCCAUUCAUUCGUUCAGGGAUUGUAAUAACUUGAAUAAAUGUUGUAACAAAAGAAGUUGUUUUGGAGGCGGGGAAAUCACAUGCUACGUGUUUCUUUUCUUCUUUUUUCA